AUUUAGCCCUGAUGGAAGUGAAAAUCCUUUAUAUGUCAUACAGGUUUUUAGAACCUGUAUGACAUAUAAAGAUUGUAACGUACAGCAGGAAAAUGG
rnacentral:sRNA from 26 species